ACUCGUCUGGGCGAGGAUAAAUAGUAAUUAGGCCCAGAGCGUCCCGGCGGCUGCCGGGGGUUUAG
rnacentral:ribozyme from 1 species